rnacentral:rRNA from 1 species
GCCCUAGUACGGCGAGUGAACAGGCAAGAGCUCAGAUUUGAAAGGCACUUUUGUGCCGUUGUAUUCUGAAGUUAGGGUCCUGAGAAACGAUGCUUAAGUCUUCUGGAAAGGAGCGCCAUGGAGGGUGAUAGCCCCGUCUAGCAUUGACCUCAUAUAGGAUCUUAACAUGGAGUCGAGUUGUUUGGGAAUGCAGCUCAAAUGGGUGGUAUGCUCCAUCUAAAGCUAAAUAUCUGCGAGAGACCGAUAGUAAACAAGUACUGUGAGGGAAAGAUGAAAAGAACUUUGAAAAGAGAGUGAAAAAGUACGUGAAAUUGUUGAAAUGGAAGGGUAGGCCGCUAACCAUGUAGAGCCGUGUUUGGGGGGAAGAUAAAUGCUGUAGAAUGUAGCUCCUCGGAGUAUUAUAGAUGCAGUUCAUAUUCCCACCCGAGCGCGAGGAUCUCAGGUUCUACUAAAUGGUGGUCUACCACCCGUCUUGAACCACGGACCA